rnacentral:lncRNA from 1 species
GUAAAGGAAGUGGGAAGAGAGCCUGUGUUGUAACCUUGUUUUAGUGGUGGAUUGCCCUUUUUCCCAGAUGAGUUCACAGAGAAGAUUAAGAUAAACAGUGGAGGCUAAUAAUGAGAGCCAGGAAGGAUGGUGAGGGGAAAUCACACAGAAAGAAUUGGCACCUUUUUUCCCCCCACCUUAUCUCUGUUACAUCUUGUGAUGGCACAAAGAUAUGCAAGAGACAUAGCACUAGAUUGAAGAGGUUUCUCCUCACUUGUCCCAAACUGGGUGGGCUGCAGCCCUGGAGCAUUGAAGAGUUGCCACUGUGUCAUUCUGCAAGCCCAUACUCCACCCAUGUGCAGUGCUGGCCCCUCUGCUGCAAAAGAAACAAAUCCCAAAAUUACAAAAGGCCCUGGAAAGGGCAGAAAGAAUGAGCAAAGGUCUGAGCAUGAAAUGACUGCACCUCCUGGGAUGCUUCAGUUCAGAAAAUAAGAGAGUAAGGUGGGAUCUGAGAGAAGUCUACAAACCUCUAGUGGCAUGGGUGGCUGGAUACCUGUUGCCAUCUCUUAGGGUGCAAGAAAUAAGGGCUAUCAAAUUAUCUUGGCAGAACUCAUGUUCAAAACAAGGAAGAGUAACUUCUAGAAGUAGACUUCCUGCCAACAGAUGUUUUGGAUGCAAAAUGUGCCUGCAUGGCUCUAAGGGGAGACAAGGCAAACACCUGGAAGGGACAGCUCUGUUGGGUGUUC